UACGAACUGUGCGAACGUUAUUCGGAAUCACUGGGCUUAAAGGGUGCGUAGGCGGCUGCCUAAGUCAGGUGUGAAAUCUCCCGGCUCAACCGGGAAACUGCGCUUGAUACUGGGCGGCUCGAGUGAGGUAGGGUGUGUGGAACGUUCCGGUGGAGCGGUGAAAUGUGUAGAUAUCGGAAGGAACGCCAGCAGCGAAAGCGGCACAC
rnacentral:rRNA from 1 species